rnacentral:rRNA from 1 species
CCUACGGGGGGCUGCAGUGGGGAAUAUUGCACAAUGGGCGCAAGCCUGAUGCAGCCAUGCCGCGUGUGUGAAGAAGGCCUUCGGGUUGUAAAGCACUUUCAGCGGGGAGGAAGGCGUUAAGGUUAAUAACCUUGGCGAUUGACGUUACCCACAGAAGAAGCACCGGCUAACUCCGUGCCAGCAGCCGCGGUAAUACGGAGGGUGCAAGCGUUAAUCGGAAUUACUGGGCGUAAAGCGCACGCAGGCGGUCUGUCAAGUCGGAUGUGAAAUCCCCGGGCUCAACCUGGGAACUGCAUUCGAAACUGGCAGGCUAGAGUCUUGUAGAGGGGGGUAGAAUUCCAGGUGUAGCGGUGAAAUGCGUAGAGAUCUGGAGGAAUACCAGUGGCGAAGGCGGCCCCCUGGACAAAGACUGACGCUCAGGUGCGAAAGCGUGGGGAGCAAACAGGAUUAGAUACCCGAGUAGUC